AUGUGUGUAGCCAGGGUCCUGACAGCCCACUCCGUCCCCUGCAGGCACUGGGCUCCCUCUGCUCCCCGUGGGCCGCUCCCCGCGUGGGGCCACUGCCCCCGGCCCCCGCCAUGGUGCGGAUUUCAAAGCCCAAGACGUUUCAGGCCUACCUGGAUGAUUGUCACCGGAGGUAUAGCUGUGCCCACUGCCGCGCUCACCUGGCCAACCACGACGACCUCAUCUCCAAGUCCUUCCAGGGCAGUCAGGGGCGAGCCUACCUCUUCAACUCUGUGGUGAACGUGGGCUGCGGGCCAGCCGAGGAGCGGGUGCUGCUGACAGGCCUCCAUGCUGUCGCUGACAUCCAUUGUGAAAACUGCAAGACCACUUUGGGCUGGAAAUAUGAACAGGCCUUCGAGAGCAGCCAGAAGUACAAAGAGGGGAAGUACAUCAUUGAACUCAACCACAUGAUCAAAGACAACGGCUGGGACUGACCCCUGCUCCUGACGCAUGUGGCGCCAGCCCGGCCUGGCCGCCAGGGGGCGCCACUGGCUUCUCUUCACCCGAACGGAGCUCUGGACCCUCAGGCCCCCUACGGAGGAAGGAUCCAGCUCCUGUACAUAUAUUUUAUUGCAUGCACUGUGACCUUGGGGGGAGAUCGGAAGGUGGACAAAGUGGACGACACCCCCGCACCUCCCUGCGAUCUGGCUGGCUUGGAUCUCGUUUUUAAACCCCUUCCUACCCCGCCUGCCCUCUAGAUAUGGCCUGUGUGCUGCUCUCUUGGCCCCAGUGCACCAUCUGCCCCGUGACGUUCUCCCACCGAGCCCCUCUUACCCUACGCGUGUCUGCUCCCCUUGUUCUGUAGCGUUUGUACAUAAUAAAACAAUGGAGUGGAGACAGC
rnacentral:misc_RNA from 1 species